rnacentral:rRNA from 1 species
AGCGAACGCUGGCGGCGUGCUUAACACAUGCAAGUCGAACGUGAAAGGGGGCAACCCCUAGUAAAGUGGCGUACGGGUGAGUAACACGUAGGUAAUCUACCCUAGAGUCUGGAAUAACCUGCCGAAAGGCGGGCUAAUACUGGAUAGAGCGACGGAAUCCGUAAUUGGGUUUUUCGGGAAAGGGAGCUCGCAAGAGCCCUCGCUUUAGGAUGAGCCUGCGUCCCAUUAGCUAGUUGGUGAGGUAAUGGCUCACCAAGGCUGUGAUGGGUAGCUGGUCUGAGAGGAUGAUCAGCCACACUGGAACUGAAACACGGUCCAGACUCCUACGGGUGGCAG